rnacentral:lncRNA from 1 species
GGGAGAUGGCCCCACCAUCUCAGGCAUGCCUCCUCCCUCUGCUUCUCCCCACAUCUCUUCAGCGGUAUCUUCUCCUCCAGCUUCCAGCCAGGAAGUUACGAGCAAUGAGGGGCAGGGAGUCCAUUUCCAUUUCACUCGAGUCUGUACUCUACCGUCCCCAGAGGAGCUUCUCCUGGAUACAUAGAACUGGCUUCUCUCCUCUCCUGGGGAUUUCUAAGAACCCAUGAGCGAGACCGGGGCAAUCUUAAAGCUUUAUCCAAAUGCCCUCAACAGAGGAUGAUGAAUUAUACCACGAUGCACCCACCCAUGGAAUACUCUGCAGCUGCUUCCAAUAAAAGGAAUGGGCUCCUUCUCUGUGCGACA